rnacentral:rRNA from 1 species
AUACGUAGGGGGCGAGCGUUGUCCGGAAUGACUGGGCGUAAAGGGUGCGUAGGCGGCCUGCAGGGUCCUGGGUGAAAGGUCCCGGCUUAACCGGGGAGGGUCCUAGGAAACCAGCAGGCUAGAGGGCUGGAGAGGGCCGCGGAAUUCCCGGUGUAGCGGUGGAAUGCGUAGAUAUCGGGAGGAACACCAGUGGCGAAGGCGGCGGCCUGGACAGUACCUGACGCUGAGGCACGAAAGCUGGGGGAGCAAACAGGAUUAGAGACCCUGGUAGUCCCAGCCGUAAACGAUGAGUGCUAGGUGUGGUGGGGGCGAGCCCUGCCGUGCCGCAGGUAACCCAAUAAGCACUCCGCCUGGGGAGUACGGCCGCAAGGCUGAA